rnacentral:rRNA from 1 species
CACGUAGGCACCAAGCGUUGUCCGGAUUUAUUGGGCGUAAAGAGCUCGUAGGCGGUUCAGUAAGUCAGGUGUGAAAUCUUUGGGCUUAACCCAAAGCGUGCACUUGAUACUGCUGUGACUUGAGUUCGGUAGGGGAGUGGGGAAUUCCUAGUGUAGCGGUGAAAUGCGCGGAUAUUAGGAGGAACACCGGUGGCGAAGGCGCCACUCUGGGCCGAAACUGACGCUGAGGAGCGAAAGCGUGGGUAGCAAACAGG